rnacentral:misc_RNA from 1 species
UUAAGUUCAGCGGGUAGUCCUACCUGAUUUGAGGUCAGAAUUUCAAAGUUGUGUUGACCGCCGACUCUUAAGGGCAGGUCUAUGGAAGGACACGACAAAGGGGAACGUCUCGUUCGAGAGCGAGGAUGGUACAACGCCCAGUCGAGUUCGACCCACAGGUCCAACCGAUGCAUUUGAGGGGAGCAGCCUCACGGCAGCAG